rnacentral:rRNA from 1 species
UACGUAGGGCGCAAGCGUUUGUCCGGAAUUAUUGGGCGUAAAGAGCUCGUAGGCGGCUUGUCACGUCGGAUGUGAAAGCCCGGGGCUUAACCCCGGGUCUGCAUUCGAUACGGGCUAGCUAGAGUGUGGUAGGGGAGAUCGGAAUUCCUGGUGUAGCGGUGAAAUGCGCAGAUAUCAGGAGGAACACCGAUGGCGAAGGCAGGUCUCUGGGCAUUAACUGACGCUGAGGAGCGAAAGCAUGGGGAGCGAACAGG